UUAAAAUGAGAAAAAAAUAAUGUUAAUUAAAUAUGUUGGUUAGAUGUAUUACAAGUUCCUCGGUUGUUUGUGGGUCAUUUGGAAGCAUCGUUUAUUGAGCGUCUUAUUAUGAUGGAAAUCUAUACAUCGCAGCAACGUAUUAACUAUGACGGUACAAUGUCAUUCAAGUAACUCACUUGAUCGCUGGUCAUUUUGAAGCAUCGUCUAAUGAGCGUCUGGAUGUCUUUACUUUACACACACUGUUGAUGUGAUGGACAGUGAAUCUGAAUUCUGCCAAGCAACAUAUUCGCGCCACAGUAGAUAAAGGAACAAAAAAAGUUGCCACAGUCUACGAAGAGUUAGGAUGGAGACUGCCUUGUUGCUGCUGUCAAACCCCAUGACGUCAAUGUCGGAGGGGGGGUAUGUCGGAAUGGAUGGCGGAACCCGAGGAAGAGGCACUAAUGAUUCCAGAAAAGAGCCAAAGAAGAAGACCUACACAGACUUCGAAAUGGAUAUUCAACGGGGAAAUGUGGAUAGCUGCCAUAUUCCCAGUCAUUACUUUGCCAAAUCAUCUGGGAUAGUGAUAUCCUCGGCGACAAGAGGAAGGCCAGCGCUGACGACGGACCAACUAAGAAGAAGAUGAGCCAGAAGGAAACCACAGUCGCCUCCCAAAGAGACUGCCAGGGUUUCUUACGGAUGUGUUUGACCGAAGAACCCCUGCAGCUUCAACUUCACCCAUGGCUCAGAUAAAGCACCCACACACACACACACACACACACACACACACACACACACACACACACUUCCUGUACCAACAAAGUAGAGAUGUUUUGAUACCAUUAUUUCUUUAACAAAUCAAAGCCCGAUAUCACAAAUCUGCCUCAGUGAGUGAGCAGUGAAUGGCGAGAACUCCUUUUACCGAUUAAGUGAAUUCGUUUGUGUAUCCGCCCCCCCCAAUUUUCAUAGAAAUCUAGUUUUUCUGUUAUCGUGCUGACAAACAAACAGACAAACCCAAUCUCCUUGGCGGAGGUAAGGAAAAACAACUGUUUUAAAAACUUUUAAAAAGUCGCCACUGGCUGGUUUUAACAUGUAAGAGACGUCACAUCUUUCAACAGCUAAUCAACUCAUAGCGGAGUCAGCCGGUCAAGCCAAAAAUGCAGUGUGCAUUUUCCCAGACGAAAACUCCUUUCUCCAAGUAAGUGAAUUAAUUUGUGUGACAACCCCGUGAUUUAGAUCUGAUUCUUCCUUGACCCAAAUGGACUAACAACCUCCUUGGCAGAGGUUUUCUUUAAAAACAGUUUGAGUCAAGUCGCUAGUGGCUGGCUUUAAAACAUAAAAGGAUGUCACCUGUUUCAACAGCUAAACAACUCGUAGCGAAGUCGGUGUUGGAGUGGAGAGAGCGAGUUGGAUAAUAAAUGUGUGAGUGUUGUCGUUGUGUCAUUUUAAGAUGCCUCAAAUUACAACCAGCUACGAUUAAAAAAAAAGCCUGAAAUGUUUUCCGAACGUUACAGACCAACGUGUUUCCAAGUUUCAACUCUUCUCGACAAGACUUUUCUGGGCUGAAUCACGGGAUUACGGGAUGUCGGAUCGGUUUAUUUUAGGGCGUGUCAGGUGAUCUGAGAUACUGGUAUCAGAACAUCUCUACAAAGUGUGAUGUGUGUGAAUACAAAUGUCUGUCUGUCUGUCUCUCCGUCUGUCUCUCUUCUCUCCGUCGCUCUCUCUGUUUCUCUCUCUGCCUCACUUGGACGUGUUGGACUCGUCUGCACCCCCAGCCAUCCGUGGAGAGGGGAGCUUGGGCUCGGUUUCACAGGAAAUGUAUGUGCAGUUUUUAUUACUUUACAUCAAACAUCUUAUUCCUCUUUUAUUAAGAAUUUAUUAAGACAUCUUUUUUCAAAGACGUCUUAGAAAAAAAACUCAAAAAUGCGACAAAAACGUCCAAAUAGGCAACAAAAACUUUUAAAAAAGUAAACAAAUUGUCCAAAAAAGUCAGUGGAGUUAUAAAACAUUUUAGACUUAAAAUGUUUGCUUAUUCCUCUUUUAUUAAGAAGACGUCUUAGUGAAAAGAUCAUUUUAAUUGGGACUAUAUGAGGGUUCUGAAUGUUUGAUUUUACAUAGAAUUGAUUUCCCCACAGCUAUAAAAACUCUGCACAGACUAAAGCACGUUGAAUGUUUAUAGUGUUUAUGGGGGAUGAUUCAUUAUUGUCAUGUAGAAUGUAUGAAUGAAUGUGUUUUUAACUUGCAGCACAUUACAGGAGCAGCACUACGAAUUCCGUUGUACGUUUUGAAUGAUACAAUGACAAUAAAGGCAUGCUAUUCUGUUUUAUAAAUCAGUGGUUCUCAACUUGCACCUCAUGCCAACUACUAUAAUUAUGAUGAAUCAUAUUCCUCUA